rnacentral:tRNA from 1 species
GGCGCCAUGGCCAAGUGGUUAAGGCAGCGGUUUGCAAAACCGCUAUUCCCCAGUUCGAAUCUGGGUGGCGCCUCCA